rnacentral:rRNA from 1 species
UGGGGAAUAUUGCGCAAUGGGCGAAAGCCUGACGCAGCGACGCCGCGUGAGGGAUGACGGCCUUCGGGUUGUAAACCUCUUUCAGCGCCGAAGAAGCGAAAGUGACGGUAGGCGCAGAAGAAGCACCGGCUAACUACGUGCCAGCAGCCGCGGUAAUACGUAGGGUGCAAGCGUUGUCCGGAUUUAUUGGGCGUAAAGAGCUCGUAGGCGGUCUGUCGCGUCGGAUGUGAAAACCCGGGGCUUAACUCCGGGCCUGCAUUCGAUACGGGCAGACUAGAGUGUGGUAGGGGAGACUGGAACUCCUGGUGUAGCGGUGAAAUGCGCAGAUAUCAGGAAGAACACCGGUGGCGAAGGCGGGUCUCUGGGCCACUACUGACGCUGAGGAGCGAAAGCGUGGGGAGCAAACA